CAGUCGCCGCGGGAAUACGUAGGGUGCGAGCGUUAAUCGGAAUUACUGGGCGUAAAGCGUGCGCAGGCGGUUUUGUAAGACAGGCGUGAAAUCCCCGGGCUCAACCUGGGAAUGGCGCUUGUGACUGCAAAGCUAGAGUGCAGCAGAGGGGGAUGGAAUUCCGCGUGUAGCAGUGAAAUGCGUAGAUAUGCGGAGGAACACCGAUGGCGAAGGCAAUCCCCUGGGCCUGCACUGACGCUCAUGCACGAAAGCGUGGGGAGCAAACAGGAUUAGAUACCCCAGUAGUCCCUGUCUCUUAUAC
rnacentral:rRNA from 1 species